CGGGCUGUCGUAUACUGGUAGUACGCUUGGUUUGGGACCAAGAUGACUGGGUCCGAUUCCCAGCAGCCCGA
rnacentral:tRNA from 1 species